rnacentral:rRNA from 1 species
GACGAACGCUGGCGGCGUGCUUAACACAUGCAAGUCGAGCGGUAAGGCCCUUUCGGGGGUACACGAGCGGCGAACGGGUGAGUAACACGUGGGUGACCUGCCCUCAGCUCUGGGAUAAGCCUGGGAAGCUGGGUCUAAUACUGGAUAUGACUCCACGGUGCAUGUCGUGGGGUGGAAAGCCUUGUGCGGCUGAGGAUGGGCCCGCGGCCUAUCAGCUUGUUGGUGGGGUGAUGGCCUACCAAGGCGACGACGGGUAGCCGGCCUGAGAGGGCGACCGGCCACACUGGGACUGAGACACGGCCCAGACUCCUACGGGAGGCAGCAGUGGGGAAUCUUGCGCAAUGGGCGAAAGCCUGACGCAGCGACGCCGCGUGAGGGAUGACGGCCUCGG